rnacentral:rRNA from 1 species
ACGAACGCUGGCGGCGUGCCUAAUACAUGCAAGUAGAACGCUGAAGAGAGGAGCUUGCUCUUCUUGGAUGAGUUGCGAACGGGUGAGUAACGCGUAGGUAACCUGCCUUGUAGCGGGGGAUAACUAUUGGAAACGAUAGCUAAUACCGCAUAACAAUGGAUGACCCAUGUCAUUUAUUUGAAAGGGGCAAAUGCUCCACUACAAGAUGGACCUGCGUUGUAUUAGCUAGUAGGUGAGGUAACGGCUCACCUAGGCGACGAUACAUAGCCGACCUGAGAGGGUGAUCGGCCACACUGGGACUGAGACACGGCCCAGACUCCUACGGGAGGCAGCAGUAGGGAAUCUUCGGCAAUGGGGGCAACCCUGACCGAGCAACGCCGCGUGAGUGAAGAAGGUUUUCGGAUCGUAAAGCUCUGUUGUAAGUCAAGAACGAGUGUGAGAGUGGAAAGUUCACACUGUGACGGUAGCUAACCAGAAAGGGACGGCUAACUACGUGCCAGCAGCCGCGGUAAUACGUAGGUCCCGAGCGUUGUCCGGAUUUAUUGGGCGUAAAGCGAGCGCAGGCGGUUUGAUAAGUCUGAAGUUAAAGGCUGUGGCUCAACCAUAGUUCGCUUUGGAAACUGUCAAACUUGAGUGCAGAAGGGGAGAGUGGAAUUCCAUGUGUAGCGGUGAAAUGCGUAGAUAUAUGGAGGAACACCGGUGGCGAAAGCGGCUCUCUGGUCUGUAACUGACGCUGAGGCUCGAAAGCGUGGGGAGCGAACAGGAUUAGAUACCCUGGUAGUCCACGCCGUAAACGAUGAGUGCUAGGUGUUGGAUCCUUUCCGGGAUUCAGUGCCGCAGCUAACGCAUUAAGCACUCCGCCUGGGGAGUACGACCGCAAGGUUGAAACUCAAAGGAAUUGACGGGGGCCCGCACAAGCGGUGGAGCAUGUGGUUUAAUUCGAAGCAACGCGAAGAACCUUACCAGGUCUUGACAUCCGAUGCAUAGUGCAGAGAUGCAUGAAGUCCUUCGGGACAUCGAGACAGGUGGUGCAUGGUUGUCGUCAGCUCGUGUCGUGAGAUGUUGGGUUAAGUCCCGCAACGAGCGCAACCCUUGCUAUUAGUUGCUACGCAAGAGCACUCUAAUAGGACUGCCGUUGACAAAACGGAGGAAGGUGGGGACGACGUCAAAUCAUCAUGCCCCUUAUGACCUGGGCUACACACGUGCUACAAUGGUUGGUACAACGAGUUGCGAGUCGGUGACGGCAAGCUAAUCUCUUAAAGCCAAUCUCAGUUCGGAUUGUAGGCUGCAACUCGCCUACAUGAAGUCGGAAUCGCUAGUAAUCGCGGAUCAGCACGCCGCGGUGAAUACGUUCCCGGGCCUUGUACACACCGCCCGUCACACCACGAGAGUUUGUAACACCCGAAGUCGGUGAGGUAACCUUUUGGAGCCAGCCGCCUAAGGUGGGAUAGAUGAUUGGGGUG